rnacentral:rRNA from 1 species
GAUGAACGCUAGCGGCAGGCCUAACACAUGCAAGUCGAGGGAGAAGCCCUUUCGGGGGCAGAAACCGGCGCACGGGUGCGUAACGCGUAUGCAACCUACCUUUCACAGGGGGAUAGCCCGAAGAAAUUUGGAUUAAUACCCCAUAAUAUUAUUGGAUGGCAUCAUUUGAUAAUUAAAACUGCGGUGGUGAAAGAUGGGCAUGCGUCCUAUUAGCUAGUUGGAGUGGUAACGGCACCCCAAGGCUACGAUAGGUAGGGGUCCUGAGAGGGAGAUCCCCCACACUGGUACUGAGACAGGGACCAGACUCCUACGGGAGGCAGCAGUGAGGAAUAUUGGUCAAUGGUCGGAAGACUGAACCAGCCAUGCCGCGUGCAGGAAGAAUGCCUUAUGGGUUGUAAACUGCUGUUAUAUGGGAAGAAUAAGGCGUACGUGUACGUUGAUGACGGUACCAUAUGAAUAAGCAUCGGCUAACUCCGUG